GACGAAGGUGGCAAGCGUUAUUCGGAUUUACUGGGCAUAAAGCGCGCGUAGGCGGCUUGGCAAGUCGGGGGGUGAAAGCCCGCAGCUCAACUGCGGAACUGCCUUCGAUACUGCCGGGCUUGAGGGCGGGAGGGGUGAUUGGGAACUCCAGGUGUAGCGGUGAAAUGCGUAGAUAUCUGGAGGAACACCGGUGGCGAAGGCGGCAUUCUGGACCGACAUUGACGCUGAGGAGCGAAAAGCCAGGGGAGCAAACGGG
rnacentral:rRNA from 1 species